rnacentral:rRNA from 1 species
CCUACGGGGGGCAGCAGUGAGGAAUAUUGGUCAAUGGGCGCAAGCCUGAACCAGCCAUGCCGCGUGCAGGAUGAAGAUCUAUGGUGUGUAAACUGCUUUUAUACAGGAAGCGGUACUGUAGGAAUAAGGACCGGCUAACUCCGUGCCAGCAGCCGCGGUAAUACGGAGGGUCCAAGCGUUAUCCGGAAUCAUUGGGUUUAAAGGGUCCGUAGGCGGCCCUGUAAGUCAGUGGUGAAAUCUCCCGGCUCAACCGGGAAAUUGCCAUUGAUACUGCAGGGCUUGAAUUAUUGGGAAGUAACUAGAAUAUGUAGUGUAGCGGUGAAAUGCUUAGAUAUUACAUGGAAUACCGAUUGCGAAGGCAGGUUACUACCAAUUAUUGACGCUGAUGGACGAAAGCGUGGGUAGCGAACAGGAUUAGAUACCCUUGUAGUC